GAGCUACCCUCCUGUAGGUUCUCUCUCCAACCCUGUUCCUGGAGAGCUACCCUCCUGUAGGUUCUCUCUCCAACCCUGUUCCUGGAGAGCUACCCUCCUGUAGGUUCUCUCUCCAACCCUGUUCCUGGAGAGCUACCCUCCUGUAGGUUCUCUCUCCAACCCUGUUCCUGGAGAGCUACCCUCCUGUAGGUUCUCUCUCCAACCCUGUUCCUGGAGAGCUACCCUCCUGUAGGUUCUCUCUCCAACCCUGUUCCUGGAGAGCUACCCUCCUGUAGGUUCUCUCUCCAACCCUGUUCCUGGAGAGCUACCCUCCUGUAGGUUCUCUCUCCAACCCUGUUCCUGGAGAGCUACCCUCCUGUAGGUUCUCUCUCCAACCCUGUUCCUGGAGAGCUACCCUCCUGUAGGUUCUCUCUCCAACCCUGUUCCUGGAGAGCUACCCUCCUGUAGGUUCUCUCUCCAACCCUGUUCCUGGAGAGCUACCCUCCUGUAGGUUCUCUCUCCAACCCUGUUCCUGGAGAGCUACCCUCCUGUAGGUUCUCUCUCCAAACCUGUUCCUGGAGAGUUACCCUCCUGUAGGUUCUCUCUCCAACCCUGUCCCUGGAGAGCUACCCUCCUGUAGGUUCUCUCUCCAACCCUGUUCCUGGAGAGCUACCCUCCUGUAGGUUCUCUCUCCAACCCUGUUCCUGGAGAGUUACCCUCCUGUAGGUUCUCUCUCCAACCCUGUUCCUGGAGAGCUACCCUCCUGUAGGUUCUCUCUCCAACCCUGUUCCUGGAGAGUUACCGUACAGUCCUGUAGGUUCUCUCUCCAACCCUGUUCCUGGAGAGUUACCGUACAGUCCUGUAGGUUCUCUCUCCAACCCUGUUCCUGGAGAGUUACCGUACAGUCCUGUAGGUUCUCU